rnacentral:rRNA from 1 species
CAGUGAAUAGAUAGCUGACGCGGCGGUAGACCCGGGGAACUGAAACAUCUCAGUACCCGGAGGAAGAGAAAGAAAAAUCGAUUCCCUGAGUAGCGGCGAGCGAAACGGGAAGAGCCCAAACCAGCUUCGGCUGGGGUUGUAGGACACCGACACGCCAAGUAAUGUUGAGCCGAACGGCCUGGAAAGGCCGGCCGGAGGGGGUAACAGUCCCGUAGGCAAAGGACAUUAUGCGGCCCGGUGGAUCCUGAGUACGGCGGAACACGAGGAAUUCCGUCGGAAUCCGGGAGGCCCAUCUCCCAAGGCUAAAUACUCCUUAGUGACCGAUAGCGAACCAGUACCGUGAGGGAAAGGUGAAAAGCACCCCGGAAGGGGAGUGAAACAGAACCUGAAACCGUGUGCCUACAAGUAGUCAGAGCCCGUUAAUGGGUGAUGGCGUGCCUUUUGUAGAAUGAACCGGCGAGUUGUGAUCUCAUGCAAGGUUAAGCAGCGAAUGCGGAGCCGCAGCGAAAGCGAGUCUGAAGAGGGCGUACGAGUAUGGGGUUGCAGACCCGAAACCAGGUGAUCUACCCAUGUCCAGGCUGAAGUCCAGGUAACACUGGAUGGAGGGCCGAACCGACUUACGUUGAAAAGUGACCGGAUGAGGUGUGGGUAGCGGAG